CUUUCCUGGACCUUCGUCUCUCCCUUUCGCUGUCUUCGUUCCGUGUGCAAAGCAGCCUCGCAUGAGAGCGCGGCACAAUGGAGGUAUUAAAUGGAUGUAAGGUAGUGGGUAAAAGCGCGGCGCUCUGACCAGAAACGUAUAUACGCGAGUAUCUCGGGCAACGCGUCACGAAAAUGAAAGUGCUUCGCAAAUAUUGGUUGCCGUCGACCUUACUGCGGUCUCGAGAGGAGAGAGAGAGCCGGGAGAAAGGAAGCGGGAGAAAAAAACCAAAUCCUGUGUACAUAUUAGGCGCGCCGGUCUCGAGCACUUUUCAGAGAGCUUUCUUCCCUUCGGCGGACCCGUCUGACCGCUCGAGCGAGAGACCGCAGAGAUGCAUUUCGGGAGACAGGUGCGACGCUUCGGAAAACGGCAUGCUGCACCGCGGAAAAGCAAAAGCCGGCUGCGGCAAUCGGUUACCUGACUCGGCUCAGAACAUUAACAAACAGACAUUUCGAUACAUCUAUCAAGCUGUCAUAAUAAGUUUGUGUGAUCCAAGAAGAGUCUCCUGAUGAAGAAAAAGUCAUAAUUUCACAAUCACCAUUUCGACUUUGUAUAGGCAUUAUGGAUGAAAUCCUUCGCAUCUCUUAUGAGCAGCAGCGGUACCUGUCGGCAUCCCCUUUCGAGAGGACCCACUAAUCGCCGAACCGUUUGAAGAUGGAUGUAUGACCAUUCAAGAGGAGCAGGUGUAGGAUUUUCGAGCAGCGUUUUGAAUUUGCUGAAAACUCGCGGACAGUGGCGUAGGUUGAAUUUGAACGGGAAUGAUUGCGCGUGAAGGGGAUGAUCAUGCUCGAGAAGCCUCGCGGCUAGAUGAUUAAAUGAAAUUUGCUAGCUCAAUCAUAUAUGCUAGCUGAAUCGCGUAUGUAUUAUGCAAAAGCGAUGAACAUGGAGAAUGCUUUUGACAUAAUUCGAGAUACCUCGCACACGAUAAGAAUUUCUCUCGUAACGUCUCGUACAAACGGUUUUGUUACAAGCUGACUGUAGAUAGCUCGAUAGAUUAUUGUUAUCCCACUCGUCGGUAAGUCACUGAUCCUACGAAACGAUCUACUCGGAACGGAUUAUCGUAUGUUAAUAAGCCCCGGGAACCCGAAAGCCCGGCUACGCCUAAUUUGCGAGGUAAUCGCGAUCUUUACUCGCACAAUACGAAAUUCUCAACGGUCAUCGAUCAUCAUUAUUUAUCGCCGUUCGCCAAAUUCGUAUCGCGCGCACGUACGCACGUCGACGCUCCGCUACGUGCGCGAGUGCGUGUGAGUCGACGACGAGCGCGUACACGCACUCUCACGCCACGCCGGGCCCAAUCCAUUUCGCUUCAUUACGGCGCUCCUCUCGCGAGAAGCCGAGGCUCUUCUUCCUGACCCUGCCUUGAACUAUGAUUGGACACGUUACAUCGAUCCUCGUCGAUCCUCGUCGAUCCUGAUCCGAGGCGUCUCGCGCUCGCGCGCGUAAACGCUUCGCCGGGCCUCUUCUCACCUUCGUCAAUCGCGCCUGACGAUAUCGCCUCGUAUCGGCCCGUGGCCUUUCCGCGGGCAAAAUAGAAGAAUACAAGAGAAGACGGGAUGAGACGCGCACGUCGGUCGGUUGGUCGGUUGGUCGGUAGAUCGGUCGGUCGAUCGAUCGAUCGACCCAACCGCUAUUCGACCAAGCAGUUGUACGAGCACGCCUCGGCACCUGCGGACUUGCGCGCGAGAGAAACGCUUCGCAGUGCGCUACCCGCGAUGCCCGAAGGAUCCAUUAGCCAUUAGCCGACGUUCAAGCCCGUCAACUUGUCAACGGCGGAACAAUGCGACCGCGAGAAUAGAAAUCGAUUUUUACGCUUCCCUUCUAUGAUGCCAUCGUUUCUCGACUUGCCUCGCGCUAUUCUCCUCGCGGCCGUGCGUCAUCGGGUCGCGAACUCCGCCACGCACGCAUGUUACGUAAGCGAUCUCCUAUCAAUACCCGCGAUUCCGAUGUCGAUUAACGUUAGCUCCCCGCGAAUUCUCAACCAAGGUUUACGUAAGAAGAGAUUUCCUUUCCUUUCCUGUCGCGUGAAAUAAAUACGAUCAUUUACGUAAGAAACGAAGCGCGAGGGGAUACUGACAGGUAAUAAUCCACGAUACCAAUCGUGCGACAUUAAUAAACUCGAAUGAACGCAAAGUGGGGACGAAAUAUAUUUUUUCUACGAGCUACGCUGCUGAUUUCGUUCCGGCAUUGGGAACUGGUGAUGUGCAGGCCCCGAGACAAUGGUUCCUGCCGUCAUCCUUCAUUGUUUCGGCUGCGUCUGGAAUCUUAAGAGACUACCCCAUUAUUAUACAUCCAUCCAGAGGGACCCUACUCGCUUUUCCCCCCUGUAAUCCCCGAAAUAAAGCGGCGGAGGCACCAGACACCUGCGUGAAAUCGGAUGAUAUUUAGAGACGCACUUGCGCCAAGCAACUGAUCAACUUUUAUGAGCUUUCCAAGUCCCGAGCAUUAUUUAUUUUACAGAACAUAAAAUAUUAUGUAAUAUAUACGAUGUGUUUUAACGCAAGUAUGCACUUCGUAUCCAAUAUCCAAUAUACAUAUAUAUAAAUGUCAACAAACUGUAAUUAACUUCUCCAUUACAAUAUUGGAUAUAAUUAACAUAUUUUUCUUCUUAAUUUGUAAUGAGCAAUUUAUAAUAUUAUUAUUAUUUAGCAUUACCGAGUUCUGGAUAAUACAUGAAAAGAGAAAAAGAAAGAGGAAACUUCUGGCGUCAUGGAAGAUUACAGUAAUUCUCGCAACUAUUAAGUCGGCCGUUUCAUUUUAUUUAUCCAUUAAUGGCUGCUGAUCUUUCUUACGAAACACGCACGUCGAACACGUGUAGCUGGAAUCGCUCGUCCCAGCUGUGACUCGCGCGACUCGGUGUCACGAAUCGGGCCUCGUCGCUUCCUGUAUCUCUCGAGUGAGCCUAAACGCCGUGCGGACGAGCGUACGUGCUUACGUUACAUCAUUACGCAUUUGAAUGCUCGAGAAAUUAUGCCGCGAGCACAUGGGCACCAAGCAUCCAGCGUAGUCACGGCGUUCAUGGCACCGACAUGGCGCGCAUUCGUGCGCGCAAACCAGCCUCGAUCUCCGGGAUCUCUUUCACGGCUCUUGGAUCUGUCGGACACCGGCGCUUUCCAAGAGAAUCAAAGAUUCCUGGAUGCAUCCUGGUGCGGGAUAUGUGUGCGGGCGGCAUAAUUCCGAGUGCAACCGCGCCGAUGGGCAGACAGCAUAAAAUGACUUCGACUACCAUAGAUGUAUCCCGCAUUACACAGGAACGAAGGUGCGCGUACCAUCCCUAUUCCACUUUCCUCUCCCUUUCUCUUUUCAUUCGUUUCUGUCCACGCACGAACAUCACGCAUGUCCUAAACCACACGUGCAAGCGCGCACACACGCACAUAACACGCGCGGAUAACCGAUACGCGUUUGUAGUUGUAUCCAUCGUCGAGCCAAGAAAAAGAGAGACAGAAAGGAAUACAAUGGCAAAUGGUAUUCUAUUAUUCCAGAUGGGUCCCGCGAGCAUCUCUCCUUCGUUGCUCACGGGGUCCGAGGAAUGCAGGCAUGAAAUCAUUCUCCAAUAUCUCACCGUAGGACUACCCUCUCCCUUCGUCUCCCCGCGUCUGAUGGUCUCUCCGACCAUCGCCCGUAACCCAAAAGUAAACCCUAACCACCCGGCAUCCCCCGCGUCGCGCGAUACGCCCCUGUCUGCGCACCGGUCAUUCAUCACUCUCGUCUAAUAAUCCUCUUUGCUCGCCGAGGUAACAUUAAUUGUGGCACGAGAUGCAUCGCGCUGAAUGCGACGCGGACGCGCCCCGAACGAUGAUGAUCGAUAUCCCCCUCUUGCUUUUUUUCCCGCGGUUUUCACUUUAGCCCUGAUUAUGGUGGCUCGAUCGUUAUGUUGCUCUUGUCGUCCGUAGCGAUCACGUUUAACACUGAAUGGCGCUCGUCCGAGCCCUUGAACGGUCACUUUUACACUCGACAGUUUUAACGCCGCAUGGAGGAGUUUGAUAAAUUACGCCGAGUCGAGGCAGCGAGUAAACUUUCAGCCUAUCAACUUACGAUAAACAAUGAAUGAUGGUUACCGCGUUCUUUCGAAUUUACCAAAAUUUUUAAUGUACAAGUGCUGAUUAACUUGACCUACUUGUAAUUUGUUAAACUGCAGCAUUGCUUCACGGAUAUAUCAGGUAGUUCCACUUCGCGCGAAAUUAUCGGUACUCGACAAAUUAAGAUCGGUUUUGUUCCGUAAAGAAAUAAAUUUGGAACACAAGUGAAUAUUUGGCCGUCGGUGUCGGUAUUUUUGCCGUAUUUGAGAAUUAUGAUAGUCUGCCCCCGUGUAGAAAAAUUAAUAGGGUCUUAAAAAGUCCCGAUUAAUUUCCUCAAUAUUAAUAUGGCCCUAAAAUGGCAUGUAACAAAUAUUUUUUCGGGACCUUAUAAGGAAAUAAUAAAAAAUAUUGUUUUAAUCAUCUGUCCUAUCGGGCCACGAUGUGGCAAUGAUAGGGCAUCCCUUUUUAGGACAUCCCUAGUUAUUCCUUAUAGGGACCUUUACUUUCUUAUCAGGCCCUAACAAUUAUCUGCACGGGCCUUUUUAGGAAACGUCGCGCGGUUGGUGGUUUAUAUUUGAGAUCUUUCCUCGCUCUUUCCAUUUCUUUUGUUCGUGUCGUAAUUCGGAGGGAAUAAGAAAUUGCGGGCAAUGAUUCGGAACAGAAUCUAUUCCAAUUUCUGCGCCAACGUUUUUCCGCGAUCCAUCGUUUGUUUCCUCCGUUAUUCCCAACCCGAGAAACGUUCGCUCUCUGUAACGAAUGUUCAUCGCGCGUGGGGUGUGGAUUCGAUUUCCAUUAUUUCCGCGCCCUUCUGAAGUUUCCCAAAAAGAAACAGCGGAAAUUAAAAUGUUGCCGAUAUUACCAGGAAUUCCAACUAUCCCUUCAUUAUCACCCGUAUUUAUUCUAUGACGGGCAGGAAAUACGGGAACGCACACGGCAGAACAAUUUCUGCCUCUCGAGCCGUCCCUUCAAAAUAAAUUAUUAUUGCAAGGGGGAGUCUCGUUACGCAAACUCGCGUGAAAGAAACGUCAUCUCCGCGUUACGGAAAAUUGACAAUUUUUGUACGCGCACGUGAUUCAAUUUUCUUUUUACGAAUUCCAAUCAACACAAUCUAUCCUGAUCUAUUUUCGCAUACAUCCUUCGCGCGCGUGUAUUGCAUGACGUAAUAUGAUCCCGCCGAUAUCCAUACUCGCGUGAAUUCGACGCUCCAUUUGUUUACGGCCGAGCAUUCGAUUCUAUCCCGCCGUGGUACGUGAACGCGGAAUAUUAUUCCGUGCGCGUGACAGGUGCACAUCACACACGCGUUACGGAAGAGGCUCUCUUUCGCACGAGUCCCGAGCAGGAGCAGGCUCUACGCGCAAUUCCACCUGCUGCAAACGGCGGUUACGAGUCGCGUCUCGAGAAGCGCAAAUUUGCAGAUCGAUAUCCGAGAUGUUUAUCUUGACGUUUCCUACUAUCGAAAGAACUACUAAUAUUACUUUAAUAUUACUUUAGAGAGUAUUUUUCUUAGCUCCUUUGUAUUAUAGUAAAAUAAUUUAUAAUUCUUUAAUUAUUUUUCGUGUACAUUUCGACGGGGCGGCGGGAAUGUAUUAGUAGCUCUGAUGUAUUUCCUCGUUAUCCAUCAUAGAAUUUGUUCCGUCUUGUUUCGGAAUAUACGUUUCGGUGCUCACAAGGACCCUUUAUAAUAUCACUGCACGCCUCGUUUAAUACCAGGCACACGCGUUGCGUGAAGACAACGACUUCACGACGAUAAAUUAAACCAUAUGCGGCUUGGAAAUUGUAAUAGUGCAAGCCGCUUGUGACUAGGGCGCGCGACCCCUAUGGAAUGGCCCUCGUAUUUUGGAUGUUUGUUCGUGCGACGAGGAGGAGCAUACGGGCUGCUCGCCUAUUGUACUUCCGCGGACUUCAAUAUGAUUUAUUUCGACUACGUGUUCAAGUCGCACAUAAAUUUUUCUUUGACUAGUAACGAUUGCACUGACGUUAGCACGCGAUAGAAGCUGCCAAAAUCAAUUUAGACGUUAAAUAUUCAAAGCACAAUUUCACAUCAGCAAAUAGAAUGUUUUAUUCUUUUCUUGAAAAAAUACAUUUCACAUAUUCAUGCAAGAUAUUUUAACGUUUUAAAAAUUUUUCUUGGAAAGAAGAGAUCUGACGAAAAUGUAAAUAUUCGCCACAUCGCGUCUCUCCUAACAGUGUACUUUGCUCGGAAAUUUACUCUUUUAGCAAGAGUAUUAAACGAGGUCAGAGUUGAAAUAUACAUAUCCUUUUGAAAUUCGCUUUUCUGGCUAAUAAUAUUUUAACGAUGAAAGGCUUGAUAAAGAAGAAUUAACGUUCCUAUACACACAAGACAGCUCGUCGCGUAUCCACAUAGAAAAAAGGAUGGACUAUUUCGUAUUUUCAUUCUCACGUAAAAUCGUCAGAGAAUUUCAGAGAAUUAGCGCAUACGAUCGAUUCGUAGAAAGAUUCGAUUUCACAGAUAGUAAUCGGGAAUUCACACGCUCGCCCCGUGCUCAUGAUUUCAUAAAGAGCAACGAGUACGUACGGAGUUUAAUGUCACCAUCACCAUGACAUUCUUUUCACUCUUUACACGUACGUUCGCGACACGACUGCACGAUUGUACACACACUACUACGCGACUUAGCCUUAAUUAGCUUAGUCCGGCUUAAUGCACCGAGAUGCCCGAGCCUUUGUCUCUCUCUCAUGUACGUAUCUCUCUCGGUACACGCAUGCAUGGCCCGUACACGCGCGCAUGUACGUGUGCACCUAUCUACUGGCGCCGUAGUGGUGGCGUAAUGCUGCAUCGGCGGGCGUGUUGAACGUCGAACACUUUCGCCGACGUGGCGGCGUAUAUCGGUUAAUGCUUCGAUUUAUUGGCCGGCACUUAGCCCCCGCUGCUCCAGAUUCCUCGGUCAGAUCGGAUCGGAUCGGAUCGACGCGCGAUAUGAAUUAGUCUCGCGCGUUGAUCGCGAGCGCGAGUGCGCUCGAUCGCGGAUUAUUUCGCUCUUUAAUCGAGCCGCCGAUCGGCAAAGCUGUCUCGGUGUGCCCUCGGUCUCGCUGCGAAUCAACUCGUCGGGAAAUCCUUCGCCGUCCUCGAUAAAUACAUCGGUAUUUCGAUCGGUGACGUCGGAUUGCGCAUUAAGCCGAUGAGCUGUUCGCGAUAAAUCAUUUUCGCGAAGCAAUUAGCGGCGGAUCUGUUAUUACGUACUCGAGCGUUCCUAUGCCAGAUGCUCGAGGCAUAUGUGUCCCGACACGAGUUCGUCCCGGAGGAACGCAAUUUUCGAGCAACGAUUUCGACGUCGUAAAAGACACCGUACGUCACCUAAAAGCGCGUAGAACACCAACUGUCGGGCUUCCGCUUUUACCGGGCUAACACGUUUAUACGAGCGGAAUAGAGUCCUCUAUUUCUGACGCGACGUUUAAUCGUAACUGCAAUAAACCUGCCUAGACUCGUCGAAGAUGUUUUGUCAACGUUCCCUGACUUGCACUUUAUAAUUUAAUCAAUUUAGCGGUUUAUUUCAUAAGCGUAAAAAAAAGAAUUUCAAGGACGCGUCUAACAAAUCUAGAAAGUGGCGCUUUCGCGCAAUUAAGAUCCUUCUCGAUUCGAGACACGAUACACGAGGUAUACCGGUUAAAUCCGCGUGACCGAUGUGGUCUCGUUCUCCACGGGAACUUUAACGAGCGGUAAAAUUUCCUCAAGACCGCGUUAUAACUUGUAUACACGCUCGCGUUCUGUAAUCAUUACGGGCUAUCUCUGAGCAUUGCGCAAUUGCAAUCGCGUUGUGUAUUUGGUACAUGUAAAAUAGACGCAUUAAAACUGUUACACGCGAAUAUGGCUCCCCAUGAAUUUUACAUUGCUGACAGAAUGUUGAAAUUGGAGUCCAUUGUCUCGUGAAUUCUUUCGUGACGUUUACGACACGACGCCAAGCGGCGAGGGAGGAACCGGUUGCUUCCGCGACUGAUUUUUCGAGCUACGUUUACGAUGAAAUAAUGCGAGUCAUUUCGCGGACCACAGGCAAUCGCGUUCGAGUGACGUUAAAGGCGCUCCGAAACGAGACCCGGAUGAGAGACCCUCGCGUCUCGACCUUGCUCGUUACGUUGUGGUGAGCUGCCUUUUGUACAGUCUAAGUGCUCAGAGCAAACCUUACGUAAUUUUAUAUAACAAGGUUGUCCAUUCAAGUGGGUGAAAUUGUAACAAUUAACCCGAGCGUUGGUAAAGUUGAGAUUUCUCUAAUAAUAUGUAUAACAUUCAAUAUGUGCUCGCAUAACACAAGUUAAAUUGAUGGCUCAGUAUCUCUAAUGCCACUUUAAUAUCAUUAUUAUUUCAUUUAAUCCUGACAAUAUUCUGUUGAAUAUCAAUGCACAUACGAUUUUAGAUGUUAUACAUUCGUAAUAUUAGAAAUAAUUUGAAAUACAUAUAAUGAGAAAAAGAGAGACUAAUAUGUGCGAGAUGAUACAUUCACAGUUUUAAAAUAUCAGUUUCAAAAUAUCAAAUAAUGUUUAAAAACGUGGAACCAAGAUAUACUUCAUGUGCGACACAAUUGUCGGUGGAAGAAAAAGGAGGUACGCGGUCACGGACAUGUGCAUUCCUGCAGGCAUGCGAAUAAUUCCGAAGGACACAGGCACCGUCGAACAUCAGACGACGGGGGCCAGGUGAUUUGUUUUCGGUGUAAAAUUCGCGAUUCUCCUCGCGUCCACGCCAGUACGUAGCCGCGUGUACCACAGGCGGACGUGUCCGUGGACUGAAAAGGAUGUACGCCGCGAAACAAUGUGACCUGUGUCCUCGGGGCGGCCAUUUCUUCAGAAUUGGCCAUUUUCAAUGUCGCAUUGGCUCCGGCAGUUCGGUUAAUUUCGAAUUCCGCUAUCCGGGCACGUAACUGUCCGUACGCAAAAAAAGCGUUUUUGAUCACCAGGAGGCAGUCUUUUGAGAUUACACAUCACAUAUGUGGGACUUCAUUAAGUUCACGAGCGUAAUUGUCUUUUUUUUUCCUUGUGAUAUCUCAACUUUACCUUCAUUUAUAAGUAGCAAAAUUAGCUUCGUACGAUGUUAGGUAUGAUUUUAUGUAACGGCGCUUUUGUUUGUAGAAUUGUAGAAUACUUUACACGAUCGCAUUGCGUUCUCGCUAUUUAAUAAACUGAGUUGAAAUUGAUUCGCGAAACCGUCGAAUUAACAUCACGAUAUAAUAGCUGCCGCGAAUUAGGCGAGACAUGUCGCGUCCAAUUAACGUUUUCGUUAAGAGUUAAUGAGCGCUUUCCGCGUCACAACGCGGCAGCAUCGCGGAUUUGUCACCCCCGCCGCGGGAGAGACAAAGCACCGCGGAUUUGUCGUGCGCGGUCGCGCGCUAACCAGAUUCGUUAUUACGUGCACACAUCCUUGUAUAACAAGGGGAUUGCGUAAUCGGGUCAACUCUCCUUGGUCCGCAGGCACGACGUCCAUCCAGUUAACGUUUGAAGAAGAGAGAGGGGACGCGCGGGGAGUCCGGGCAGCAGGGCGGUGCGCUUAAAUGUGGCGCUUGAUUGUCGCUCUUAAUGCCAAUAGGAAAUGACUCACUCCUUAACGCCGCAAUGAUAUCACUCUCCGCCCCGCGGUGUCGUGCGACCGAGAGCGAGCGAGCGCGCGCUGCAAGAUCAUGAUCCAAUCUAUACAGCAGAGGAUAGGAUUGCGAUCUGGGCCCCGCUCGUUAGAUUUACGAUGCUCUGGAGACACUGGAGGCAAGCAGAAGUACAGCGAGAAAGCGUGUCCCCGAAGAUCGCGGCUAUGUCGCAACGAGAUGAUGAGGUAAGAGAGCGAUUCCGGAGCAAAAGCGGUCGUAAAGGAACGCGGGAGGUGGCGCAGGAGAAGGAGAAGAAGGAAAGAACGAAAAGGAAGAAGUGGAUCUACAUAAGAGAUCAUGACUCGGGCGCACUAGUCGAGUUUCGCCGCGCGGAGAGCCAGAGAGGAGAAAGUUACCAGGAACUGCCUGAAUCUGCCCGAUUGGCAGCCUCCUUGCGCUCCUUUUCCACGGACUGGAGGUAUUGUAGUCACGAACGUGCAACCAUAGCAGCAACAAUAACCUCCCCCUCCCGGCGCACAACGAGCCUUUGUUCGCUCCUUCUCGCGGUGUGCGGGUGGUUUGUUCUACUCGCUCGAUACUUGCUCGGUACUUGCUGUAUUUUCAAUCCUCAUGAUUAUUUUAUUUUUGCUCUUCUUGGCGCGUACCGCGCGCGAAAUCCUUUUCUAGAAACUUCAUAAAAAUAUCAGUAUAAGCAUAUACAUCCGAGUAUGUACAUUUUAUCGAGCGCCUCCGAAUGACUCACGGAUAAUAAAAUAUCAAGAUAAAAUCAAUUUUUAAUAAUGUAGUGGAUAUCUUUUUCCGCGCCAGUUACCAUGAAAAUAUUUUAUUACACAUCAUUAAAAAUUCUCCAUGAAAAAAUUCUUUAUUUAAUUACAAUAUUAUAUAUUAUAUUAUUUUUAAUAUCAUAGAGAAAUUCAUUUUUCUUUGUUUGGCGAAAUAUAAAGACCCUCCGAUCUGUAUAUCGAAAUAUAACGUAGCGAAAUUUGAUUUUGAUUCAGUGUGAGUGUACAUUUACGUCAUCUUGUCAAUGCGAUUGCAUUAUUUUGCUCCGCUCUGACCUCUGACACAGUUUGAACUGCACUACGGCUUUAGUUCCUUGCCAUUAGUCGCAAUUAGUCCUCGCGAUGAAUUUUCUAUGAGCAAAUAAUCAGGCGCGCUUGUACACGUAACUCAGAGACGUCAUCGGGACAAUUAUAGUUUCAUGAUCGAGAAUCGACGAUGAUCGUCGAGUCCAAUGACCCGUUGAAACGACGAGAAGACUCGAUUACUGUUGAGAGUUUUCGAAACCGGCGGUCUAUUCUUAUGCUGAUUGUUGCUACCGAUUCCGAAGCGCCUAAUCGGCGGAUCGAACCGCGAUUCGUGGUGCUUUGGUUAAUGAACUACAGUCAUGUUACAAUCAAAUGCAAAUUGUCUUAAUUAAUGGCGAUCCACGAUUCAACCGUGACUCGUAACUGCGUUCGAGCAGCCGAUUGCUCUAUGAUUCGUUGGAUCAGAUACCAUUGCGAAAUUUUUCUAAUCGUUUCUGUUCCUGGGUUAAGAAUUAAAUAUCGAAUGCCAUGACGCACACAUGCGAAAAACAUGUCUCAUGCACACACUAAUCUCAAUCUUAAAACAAACUUGCUUUUGACCGAGUCGAGGAAAGUUAUCGUGAUCCAAUUUCCGCGGCCCGGAUUCCACACUGGAGAUUCGUUUCUUACGACUGUUCGCGUGUAACAAUAUCGAUAAUUAAUCGGUAAUGUCAUUUCGCCGAUUGUAAGUAACGCCUACUGUGCGGGAAAUGCGGGCCCGAUCGGACAGUUAUUAAUAAUUACACUUUCGAGACCAGUCAGAUCGGCAGAUACGUCCGGACGUACGGCUGAUUUGUCAAUACGCGGCGAGUAAUGCGUUUCGCCGCCGCAUGACCGAAGCCUGAUUACGAUAUUUGUUCGCCUGCGAACCAAUAAUGCCCACGCGAUAACGAGACGUUGAUUAUAUUGUUGUAUACGUCGGGCCUGAUUGACGUUACGUUAUCAUUGUAUGCAUCAAUACAGCAAAUUUAAUUUAACACAGACAUUACGUAUGUAACGUAAUAUUGUCUAGAUAUAAGGUGUCUUCUCGAUCUCAAUUUUGAGACCAAUCUUUUUUCUAAUUAAAAUCGAGCCACAAUUUAAGACGUAGCGUUCGCAAAUGGAAGAUUACAUUUUUCCGCACUCUAAGAUAUAAAAUUUUAUCUCGUUUUCCUUGGCGAAUAUCCUGCAUUAACAGUAGCGUAACUACGCGCGUGCAAGUGGUUAAUGUAACAAUAAAAAAUCGCGGGACAACUUGUUAAGGGAUACGCCUACGUUGUAGAAAACACUUGCGCCAAGAAUUCCACUUUCGCUGUCAGGCAGAUCAGGGGAUACACCGAGAUGUUAAUACAAUUGGUUUAUGCGUGUUGGUUAAAGCCGGGUGUGUAGUAGCCGAGAAAGCCAUAACUUCGAUAUUUAUAUUACGCUAGUGCGACCUAUAAUACUGCGACCAGAUAACCGGACUACACUCGAAACCAGUAAAGACGACGAGGACAGCCGAGAGCAUUUAAUAUAUCGUACGCUACUGUUGGAUUACUCCUUUUGGUACGACGCCGUAAAUUCUCGAAACUCUUUGGUAGUAAAGUAGAAAGCAGAACUAUCGCGUUUCCUCUCAACUAUAAAUUCUACACGACGAAUUAAAAAGGAUUCCUUCAACAUUGGGGCGUCAGAAAUUAUGAGCAUUUCGAGAUUAAAGAGCGCAACGAGUAAAAAGAUAAGAGCAGAUAAAACGAUCUUGCAUAAUGUAAACCGGGGACUUUCGCGCGCGAAUCGCUCCCCAAUUCGAGGUUUAGACAUCAAUAUAUUUAAUGCUGAAAAUUGAUUGAAACUCAAUGUUCGUAAUUGCUGUCUGUUAUUAAUUGUGCACGCGACAGUUAUUAAUUAUUAGGAUGUACCGAUGUGCACGCAUCGUUUAUCAGCACAUGACGAUUAAUUUGCCAUGCUGCAUGUAUACAUUUGAUACACGGUUUCUGCCAAUGUAAACUCGUAAUACUCUUAAAUGAUUGCCAGAUGCGCCGUUCGUCGUACUGGUAUUCAAUGGAACUUUAAGUACAUGCCUACGUAACACGUGAUGCGUUGCCGCAGGAUUAUCACAUCCGGCGACAUGUGAGCACCAACAUGGUUCCGAAAAGAAUGCGUUAAUCUGUUCAUGAUCAAAUAUUUACAUUAUCCGUAACUAUGCCACGAGCAGUAACUGAAGCAACAAAAAUUAAACGCAGAAUAACAUAAACGCACAAUCACAUAAAUUAAUUUGCUUAACCGUCGGAGUUACGUCAGAUGGAGAGUAUUCCAUUUAGCAAGCAAGUAUAGCAGAACAAACAUAAAUGGUUCGAAAGUAUUUCCAAGCUUUUCCAUGACAGUACGUUACGAGGCAGAUGGGAUAUCCUGCCAUGUGCUGGAUCUACGUCGACUCGUUCAGCGAUCACGAUUUUGAUCGUUUCAUCCAUUGUUACGUGGCCAGGUAUUAACCGGCGGCGUGCGUGCGUGUACAAGAUUAGUCAUUGAUUUCAAACAGUUAAACCUAUGGUUACGGGCGCCCGCACGACACGAAGAUUCCACGGCAUUGGGUUUAACUGUGAUUCGCGUAAUGACAUUUGAACGAGCUAGCGCGCGCUCUCGGCUAAAUCGCAUCUUCCGUUCCAGCGAAAGCUUACUCCGGCACUUACUUUUCUUCCACCUGAAAUGAUAUAAUAAUACGGCUGUCUGUCAAUACGCGAAACGUGUCCGUCGUGAAUCGCCGCUCCUUUCCCGCGUGCGACGUAACCCGCGCCGAACGAGCGAGCGGGUGGCACACCUAUUCGACGUAAGGACUCGCCUUCGCAUGGACACCUAGUCGAUAAUUACAUGUCUGCUUUUAAUAAUUCAGAUCGAUUUGACCUCGAACGUUCUCUCGUUCGUGGUAUUUCCAUUCUUUCGCACAUGGACGUUUUUCUGCUUCAAAUUAUCCCCUAUUCUUUCCUGGAGCUAUUCUGCAUCUUGUGUAUUCUUUUCUCUUGGAAUUUUUAAAAACCCGCUCAAGAUUUGGAGAGAGAUAAUUAUACUCGUAGUGUUCGCAUCGCAUCAUUUUUCAGCGAAUGUUGCACACGCACGGCGCACGCAUGAAGUGAACGCGGCUUGUUAGAGUCUUGAGAGACAUUAACCGUUUGCAGAUCAAGCGUUGCGAUCUUUAUUCAAUGCUUUAAUUAGAUUGAGUUAUUUCGCAACACGCAAUCGUAGCGUCGGUGGCGUCUCUGGUCCGAGACGAUCGCGCGAUACGCGCGAGUCGACGUCGGGAGAUCGCCGAGCCAGAAAAGAACGACUUUGUGCCACUGAUAUAAGAGAUAGGAGCAGCUUUGUCUCUGAUCGCUCGGGGUAACCCACGUGUCCCUUCCCACGUAGUCCACGAUCGUGGAUAAUUGUCAGUUUAACUAUCGCCUGCGCGCUCGGCUGUAUACACACGUUUCCGACGUCGGAAUAUCUUUUCACGCUCGUGCGUCGUGCGGCACGCAUGCAAUUAGAAAUUUCCUUUCACUGGCUCGUUGACACUAAUCACGCGGGCGUCUCCGUCCUUCCCUCCGUGUUUUUCUGCAUCCUUCUCUCUUUUUAUACCUUUCGUUCCUUCUGUCUCGCUCCCACACACCCGCGCUCGAUGGACACCGGUUGUCCGUUCCGUGCUUGUGUGUACGCGCGUACGUACGCAUGACAGAAACCGAUUGCUUUAACGAUCGCCGCUAAAUUCCAAUUACGCAACGUUCAAUUAUAUUUUCCCGUCGUACACAGCGCGCAAUUGGUUGACAAAUUUUCGCGCUCGGAUCCGGUGCAACUAAUUGGCGGCUGCGAUAAUUUGCAUAGUACCCGUUAAUUCUCGUUUAUUCUUUGCGAACAAGUUCUUAAACUCGAUUUCGCCCAUUUUCACUUGAGGCGAACGUUCACGCGGUGUAACCGCGUGAAAACUCUAUACAUAAAUUUAAAAUAUGUAUAUAUAUAAAUGUAAUGCUCGGCGAAACAAGGGCGAUCACGUAUGUAUGUAUAAAAAAAAGCGAUAAGGUUGACAAGGAUGACAAGGUGCCAUGAUACAUCCGCGGCGAUAUUUCGUUGCAUUACUAGCAGAAGCAAAGUUACAAAGUUGCAAAUUUGCCACAUUUUGCAAAACUGCACCCAUGUUCUCGCAUUCUUGUUUCUCUCUCUCUCUCUCUCUUUCUUUUAUAAUAACUCUAUAUUACUGAGAGUUCAGAGAGAAUUAUUCAUCUUUAAUAAUAGCCCGAAGCAUUCUCGGAAAAAAAACUUGUUUCUCCUGGUAGUAAUUCGCGCAGUCGAGUUGCAAUGUAUUCUCAAACCAAGUAAAAAGUUCAGAAGAUUGUAUGUUGGGCGUAUAUACAUGUGUAUGCUCCAAAGUCCACAGAGCAAUUCCUCUUCUUUGUUUGCUCUAAAUUAUUUUCUAAAAUUUUUUAAUAACAUGCUCCAGUACUCCCUUACAUAUAAUAAUCUUUUCAUUAUGUGUAUCAUCUAAAAGAUAGCAGCGAUAUCACAAGAGGGUGAACAUGGAAUCCUAUACGCCGCUACUGUAUAAUUACCACCAGGAAUUAAACGGAACUCCGCCAAGAGGAAAACAUACAAAGCAGUUUUCCGCGCAACGUAUAAUUUGCGCGCAACCACACGAGCAUAAUUACAUAUUUCUUUCAUCGAACGACAGUGCUCUUGCAAAUCAUUCGCGGCUAUUAAUGCCAAGUCCUUCUCUCAUUCCAUGCCCACCACGGGAAUAAAGUGGGAAUACCCAGUGGCACCAGUUUCGCGAAUACCGUUAAGCGGUCAUUUCCACUGCUCCGAGCAUCCGAGUGGCAGCCACCGUGUUAUUAGAAAUUCGGGAAGAAUUGCCUCACGUCUAAUAACCCCUCCCCGAGAAUGGUUCUCCAGAGGGAACCAGCUCGCUCGCUGCGAUUCGAAAACGCACAGCACGCCUCGUUGAUUCUCACGAACCGCUCGAGAGUGAUUCCGCUCUCUUUCUCUCUCUUUUUUCUUCGAGAGCUUUUUGCUACCCAUAAUAGACUUGCGAAUCCGUGGAUUUUCGUUCAUUCCCCGUGCCCCGUUCCGAGACAAACGAAACGGACGAAACGGGCGCGGGUAUAAAGGAAGAAACGAUCACAGUGGGGCACGCUCUAAUCACGGAGAAGGUCUAAUCGCGGUGGACCCGCGGGCAUGCAAUAGCAACGGGGCGAACGGAGGAAGGACGGAAGGAAGGAUAGAAGGGGGUGGUGGCCGCUGCAACGGCAGCAACAGGUAUCGGCCCGCGCAACGACCAUGGUAUCGAUGUCUCGGGGAUACCAGACCGGCCGACGAAAACGGCAUAGACGUAUAUUUUGACGACUGAAAAUCGCCGGCUACCCGUACAAGAGCCCCUGGGUGCCCCCCGGGUGUCGAUCGAGCGCCGCGCUCUUGCCGGCGCGACAUGCUCCGACCUCGACCGUUUCGUUUUCGUUUAAAGAUCGAGAUUAACGGCAACUCCAGAGAGGGGCUCUCUAUUAUUUCCUAGGAGAUUGACCGCGAGUAUAACCGCACGUUACGCUCGCCAGCUUCGUCGAUCUCGCUUUCGGUUUCGUUUCCGAUGCUCGCAGGUGCAUCCGAAAAUGUGGAUCGUUUCGACCGGCAUGCAUAGACUGACUGGCUUGUAUACGCGUCGGAUUCAAAUUACAAUCUAGAGCGACGCGGAACCGCGAAUUUUCUGUCGAUUCGCCAGAUGGUAAUGAGACGAAAUUAACGAGCCGUGAGUCUCGGCCAAGCGGCUUUUUUCGGUAGCUCUCUUUGGAGGAAUUCCGUGUCACUACCCCUCCUCCACCCUUAUGCGCUCUAACCGUCUCUCUAUUCGUCUACUAAUUUUACGGUGUGACUAUUAAGCAUGAUCCGCAGCACGCAUAUCUGACGAUCGACUCGCACACUCCGUUUUUUCUCGUCUGGGAUAUCGCGCGGUGCGCCAUAAUAACGCAAAUGGCAGGUUCCUCGUUUCAAACAGUCUCGACGUUAAAGUCAGGAUGCACAGGCGGCCACAUUCCAGAUGGAAAUCGCCGUUCCGGUGUUUCUCGUUUGUCAUGCUUCCUGUCUCGGUGCGCGAGUGCGUUAAGUGCACGUUAAGAACUUGGUAUUCUUCUGCAUUAUGUGGGAAUCCCCUCGAAUUAUGGACAAAGUAAAUUUUUAAUUCUCUCCCCCGUCACAACGCGAUACAUAUAAUUGUGGAUACACCAUCUUUGUUCGCGUCAAGUCGAGAUUAUAACGGAUUGUGAAGUGGUGAAUACAUAGGAGUAGAUGAAUGGAUGAUAGUUUAUGAAAUUAUAAUUUAAACCCACGAUGCAGCACUCUUGUGGCCUUUUGCUCCGAUCUACUAAAAUUAUUUUCAUGUACCGUAUAUAUUUAACGAGCAUUUAUGUAAUUCGAAACCGGAUUUCUCGCAUUUCUCAUUAAACGUGAGUUCUAAGCGCCGUUACAAUGUACAGUUAUUUAUCUUUAGCCAGACGUGUUCUUCUCAGAGAUAACAUCCGUAUAAAGAACGAAUUUUUCCAGGCAAGGGCAAUAAAUACCUCCUCAUCGCAAUCUCAUUCCCUUAGCUAUUAUGUCCAGUACCUUUGUUUCGGGUUGACUCUUUAGUAAGGUCAAUUAACCGUCGAUAGAUUUAAUUUGAUGCUAGAUUUUGUUGCAGUAAAAUCUAACGGUGCAUCCAUAUGAACGGAAAAAGCGAUAGAGAGAAGGUACGAAGAGAGCGAGAGCCGCAGCAUCAUGACGAAAGUAUGGAUUUGCGCCACAUCGAGGACAGGUCGCCGAUUUGCGGCGAUCCGCAUCGAUGAACGUUUGCAAGAAUAUGCGAGAAUUCGCUGCUACUUUCCUUCCUCGUUCCAAAGAGUUAUACGAUGAUUACAUGAAUGAUCUCGGAACCAAUCGCCGUUUCUGGAUCAACGAGUUUGCAAGGGAAUUUUCUUCGCCCUCUUCGUAAAAGAUUUAUUGCACUUUCUUCGCGAUCACUCGAAGAUUAUACAAAUAAGUAUUAAUUAUAAAAUAAAUGCUGUCUUAUAUAUUAAAAUAUUAAUUGAUCUCUAAAUUUCAUCUAAUUAUGAAGGAUAAGAAUUUAUUAGAAUACAAUCAGGUAAAAAUAUUUGAGAAAGAUAUAUUCACAGAUCAUAUAUAAAACUGAAAUUAUUACCGUAUGAUUUACGCUAAUAUUUACACUCUUCGAUAAAAGACACAGUUAAAGAUGUGAAAUACAUUCGUUUCGUUCUGAUAAGUCCGUCACAUCUUCGAUAUUAAACCGGAAGAUAUUACACAUCUAAUAUUAUCCGUUCCAUUUCACCUAGAAGACGUGUCUACGUUGAUAAAUGAGAGUUAUAAGUACGAUCGUAUAUCAGCAUUCGGAAAUUUUAUAUGAUAUCGCUGACGUCGUGUCUAUUUUCUUAUUAUGAGCUCGUGAAAGGAUUUAGAACGGAAAAGAUUUAUCCUCUUCCGCUUAUUCUUGAAAGCUUGUAUUCGUAUCGAUCUCUUUUUACAAAUAAUACAAAUCUCGCAAAUGUAACGUUACCAUGCAAAUCGUACAUGUAAAUUUGUAAAAUAAAAUUAAUUAAUUUCUUAUUAA